ensembl:lncRNA
GGGGAAUCUAUCAAUCAAUGGAGCACAACUAAUGGGGGCACAAUCAAUGGGGCACAAUCAAUGGGGCACAACUAAUGGGGGCACAAUUAAUGGGGAAUCAAUCAAUGGGGCCAACAAUCAAUGGGGCCAUAAUCACUCAUUGGGGAAUCAAUCAAUGGGGGACAACAAUCAAUGGGGACAACAAUCAAUCAAUGGGGAAUCGAUCAAUGGGGCCGCAAUCACUCAAUGGGGAAUCGAUCAAUGGGGACAACAAUCAAUCCGUGGGGCACAACAAUCAAUGGGGCACAACAAUCAAUGGGGAAUCAAUCAAUGGGGAAUCACUCAGUGGGGACAACAAUCAAUCAGUGGGGCCACAACCGAUCAAUGGGGCCAUAAUCACUCAUUGGGG